rnacentral:rRNA from 1 species
UGUACGUACAAGCAGUGGGAGCACGCUUAGGCGUGUGACUGCGUACCUUUUGUAUAAUGGGUCAGCGACUUAUAUUCUGUAGCAAGGUUAACCGAAUAGGGGAGCCGAAGGGAAACCGAGUCUUAACUGGGCGUUAAGUUGCAGGGUAUAGACCCGAAACCCGGUGAUCUAGCCAUGGGCAGGUUGAAGGUUGGGUAACACUAACUGGAGGACCGAACCGACUAAUGUUGAAAAAUUAGCGGAUGACUUGUGGCUGGGGGUGAAAGGCCAAUCAAACCGGGAGAUAGCUGGUUCUCCCCGAAAGCUAUUUAGGUAGCGCCUCGUGAAUUCAUCUCCGGGGGUAGAGCACUGUUUCGGCAAGGGGGUCAUCCCGACUUACCAACCCGAUGCAAACUGCGAAUACCGGAGAAUGUUAUCACGGGAGACACACGGCGGGUGCUAACGUCCGUCGUGAAGAGGGAAACAACCCAGACCGCCAGCUAAGGUCCCAAAGUCAUGGUUAAGUGGGAAACGAUGUGGGAAGGCCCAGACAGCCAGGAUGUUGGCUUAGAAGCAGCCAUCAUUUAAAGAAAGCGUAAUAGCUCACUGGUCGAGUCGGCCUGCGCGGAAGAUGUAACGGGGCUAAACCAUG